GGGCGCGUAGCUCAGCCAGGAAGAGUAUUGGGCUUUUAACCCAAGGGUCGCGGGUUCGAAUCCCGCCGCGCCCG
rnacentral:tRNA from 1 species